rnacentral:rRNA from 1 species
GUCGAACGCUGGCGGCGUGCUUAACACAUGCAAGUCGAAGAUAGUGGCGAACGGGUAAGUAAUACGUGCGUAACCUGCCCUCCUGUUUGGGAUAAGCCUUGGAAACGGAGUCUAAUACCGAAUAAAGGGGGAUGGGCUCGCGGCCUAUCAGCUGGUUGGUGGGGGGAUGGCCUACCAAGUCGUAGACGGGUAGCCGGCCUGAGAGGGUGACCGGGCACAUUGGGACUGCGAUGCGGCCUAGAGUCCUAAGGGAGGGAGAAGUGGGGGAUAUUGCACAAAGGGCGAAGGACUGAUGCAGCGAGGGUGAGUGGGGGAUGAAGGCUGUCAAGUUGUAAACCUCGUUCGGAAGCGAAUGGGUAGGUGGAGAAGAAGCGCCGGCUAACUCCGUGCCAGCAGCCGCGGUAAUAC